CAGCACCUCAAGUGGUCAGGAUGAUUAUUGGGCCUAAAGCAUCCGUAGCCGGCGCUGUAAGUUUUCGGUUAAAUCUGUACGCUCAACGUACAGGCUGCCGGGAAUACUGCAGCGCUAGGGAGUGGGAGAGGUAGACGGUACUCGGUAGGAAGGGGUAAAAUCCUUUGAUCUAUUGAUGACCACCUGUGGCGAAGGCGGUCUACCAGAACGCGUCCGACGGUGAGGGAUGAAAGCUGGGGGAGCAAACAGGAUUAGAGACCCGAGUAGUCC
rnacentral:rRNA from 1 species